rnacentral:tRNA from 1 species
CCGCACAUGGUGAAACUAGGUAAACACGCUGGUCUUAGAAACCAGUGCCGUAAGGCUUGGGGGUUCGAUUCCCUCUGUGCGGACC